GUGCGGGCUAGACUGGAGGGUUAGGGGUCCUCUAUUAGCACAUAUCCCCUAUAUGGUGCAGUUGAAGUUCAAGAGGCGGCAUAUUAACUAUUUGCCGGCCUUAAAAUUCAAUGUAGAAACCACGUCCUGCAGGAUUAGUGGUAUCAGGGUCUCAGCUGGAGGGCGGAGAUAAACUGAUUUAAUCAUGGGAACGGGUCAGGCCUGGAAAGGAGCAGCUCUACUGUGAACAACUGAUGCUUGCGGAGCAACGGGGCGGAGUUGGAUUUUUAGAUCACCGGUAACUGGAAGGUGUGUCCACUCUUGAACACGCCCUUUU
rnacentral:SRP_RNA from 2 species